rnacentral:rRNA from 2 species
GGGGGAUAUUGCGCAAUGGGGGCAACCCUGACGCAGCAACGCCGCGUGAAGGAUGAAGGUUUUCGGAUUGUAAACUUCUUUUAUUAAGGACGAAACUUGACGGUACUUAAUGAAUAAGCUCCGGCUAACUACGUGCCAGCAGCCGCGGUAAUACGUAGGGAGCAAGCGUUGUCCGGAUUUACUGGGUGUAAAGGGUGCGUAGGCGGCUUUGCAAGUCAGAUGUGAAAUCUAUGGGCUCAACCCAUAAACUGCAUUUGAAACUGUAGAGCUUGAGUGAAGUAGAGGCAGGCGGAAUUCCCCGUGUAGCGGUGAAAUGCGUAGAGAUGGGGAGGAACACCAGUGGCGAAGGCGGCCUGCUGGGCUUUAACUGACGCUGAGGCACGAAAGCGUGGGUAGCAAACAGGAUUAGAUACCCUGGUAGUCCACGCUGUAAACGAUGAUUACUAGGUGUGGGGGGUCUGACCCCUUCCGUGCCGGAGUUAACACAAUAAGUAAUCCACCUGGGGAGUACGGCCGCAAGGUUGAAACUCAAAGGAAUUGACGGGGGCCCGCACAAGCAGUGGAGUAUGUGGUUUAAUUCGAAGCAACGCGAAGAACCUUACCAGGUCUUGACAUCCAACUAACGAAGUAGAGAUACAUUAGGUGCCCUUCGGGGAAAGUUGAGACAGGUGGUGCAUGGUUGUCGUCAGCUCGUGUCGUGAGAUGUUGGGUUAAGUCCCGCAACGAGUGCAACCCUUGCUAUUAGUUGCUACGCAAGAGCACUCUAAUAGGACUGCCGUUGACAAAACGGAGGAAGGUGGGGACGACGUCAAAUCAUCAUGCCCCUUAUGACCUGGGCUACACACGUACUACAAUGGAUGUUAACAGAGGGAAGCAAGACAGCGAUGUGGAGCAAACCCCUAAAAACAUUCUCAGUUCAGAUUGCAGGCUGCAACCCGCCUGCAUGAAGAUGGAAUUGCUAGUAAUCGCGGAUCAGCAUGCCGCGGUGAAUACGUUCCCG